ensembl:lncRNA
CUCCCUGAUUAUCUUAUCCUCAUUCCCAGCUGGAACCACCACCUCACUCCGACCCAGAUCACUCUUUUAAGCUCUAACUGCCCACAACUGCCCAUGGGACACAUCUUCUUAGUUGUUCCACAGGCACCUCAAAAUCACCAUCUUGUUAACCAGUUUUCCUGUCCUCUUACCUAAACCCAGUCUCAUCUCCCCCAUCAAAUCAGUCACCAAAGGUGAAUGGCUCAAGGAACAAAUAUGAUCCAAGCUGAACCAAGCAGAUUCUACUAAGAAUUUACAAUGAGGACCCAGAAGAUUCUAAACAGGCAAGAAUACUGAAGUGGGUUGCCAUUUUCUUCUCCAGGGGAGCUUGCCAAUCCAGGGAUCAAACCUGCAGGUGGAUUCUUUACCACAGCGCCGCCUGGAGAGCCCACAGUUGUAUGACCACCACGUUAAUCAAGAUGUAGAACUCUGCAUCACCCCCCUAAGUUCCCUUGUUCUCCUUUCUAGUCACCCUCACCUUACCACUAGCCCUUGCCACCACCAAUCUGUUUUCUCUCAAUAUCUUUGCCUUUUCAAGUUGAAUUUGGUGAUUGGGAUUGACAUAUAGACACUACCAUGUGUGAAAUAGAUAACUAAUGAGAUAACCUACUAUAUAGCACAGGAAACCCUUCUCAAUGUUCUUUGGUGACCUAACUGGGAAGGAAAUCCUAAAAACAAGGUAUAUAUGUAUAUGUAUUGCUGAUUCACUUUUCUAUACAGCAGAAACU